rnacentral:rRNA from 1 species
UACGUAGGGUGCAAGCGUUAAUCGGAAUUACUGGGCGUAAAGCGUGCGCAGGCGGCUUUGCAAGACAGAUGUGAAAUCCCCGGGCUUAACCUGGGAACUGCAUUUGUGACUGCAUGGCUAGAGUGCGGCAGAGGGGGAUGGAAUUCCGCGUGUAGCAGUGAAAUGCGUAGAUAUGCGGAGGAACACCGAUGGCGAAGGCAAUCCCCUGGGCCUGCACUGACGCUCAUGCACAAAAGCGUGGGGAGCAAACAGG